GUGGGGUUGCACUGAACAAGCCCAUGCUUGUGUAAGUCUGUGAAAUUUCAAGAAAUUACGCGACAUCAGGAAUGCAGUACAACAAUGGUGCUCUGCCAAUAUCCCAGGAUACACCGGGAAGGUUCAUUUCGCAGCCAGCCACCCGGCAAAUUCUGAUAUUCCAUCAACAACCCCAUCACCAGACUCAGAAGUGCACCGCAUCUUACGGAAAGAAAUGGAAGUUGAUGUCUUCCGUCACCAGGCACCGCUGUCUCGAAUGGUCACAACUGUAAAACCCUACAAUCCUUUCAAUAAGAAGCAUCAGGGAACUGUAGGAUACUGACGAAGGCCUGCCCUCCGAGUGGGACUCAUAAACCUCAGCCCUGGGGAGGCA